rnacentral:rRNA from 1 species
AUGGCCAUGGCUGGUCCAGCUUGCAGAUUUCUCUCGUGUUUUCUGUGUUUUGUAGCAUGUCUUAUCGUUAUGGAGUCUGCUUUGUCUGCCCAUUCAUGGUGCACCCCACAUCCCAACCCGAGGGGAGAAGCGGAGUUUAAGCAGAAGACAGACAAGUUUUGGGAGUACCAGGAGCAGAGCAAUACCUGGGUGGAAAUAAGCAUGCCUUUCAAUCUCAUGUCCUGUAUCAACGGCACCUGCACAAAGGUAGGCUCGAUCAAGCAACCAGAAAGCAAACAUGGCCGUGCUUCCGUCUCGAGUCAAGAGAAGGAUACUGAUCCAGUCCUGCCCAUAAGGAAAAGAAUCUCCCUGGCAAGGAUGUCAGAGUCGUCCGUGUGGGUCACAGGGCAGAGCGGAUCAAUCUAUGAGAGGUUCUGGAACGGGGUCAUGUGGGUGAUUGCUCCUCAUGAGCUUCCAACGGCGGCUGGGUAUGCAACAGCAACUUUCAUCGUCAACACAACCAUCCUUGCUCUGUCCGAGGCUGGAAUCCUCUACCAGCUACAGCUAAAUGAACAUGCCCAGCCUAUCUGGACUGAGAUGACAUUCAGCUAUGAACAACAUUUCACAAACCUUGAAGAGAAGACACAAAGUCAAGCUACACACAUAAAAAAUGGGGUCGUAUCACAUAAUGGAAGGAAACUUUUCCUUUCUAUCACGAAUGGGUCCCUAAUUGAGGUCACAGAACUUCAGCCUCUAAGGUGGAAUUGCCAUGGGCGUCCCCCAGGAGCAGAUGUAUCAUAUAUAUCUGAUGCUGAAAAUGCAAGACCAGGGACCUUGUUCACAGUAAGUUCUACUGGAGACCUAUAUGAAUUUGAUAAGGAAACGAAGCCAUCAUGGAAAAAGCAUAUAUGGAGUGAACAAACAACCAAAAAUGUCUCGCUGAGCUCAUCUGUUGGGUGUGCUUUGCAUGGUCUCUUAGGCUCUAAUUCAGUAUCACUCUUUCUGAUAACCAAGGAUGGUCUUUUAGUGGAGCGGCGCUUGCAUAGAAGAAAGUGGAAGUGGGAUAAACAUGGAGCACCUAAGGGUCAAAGACUAAGUUCAAUUACAGAAGUUCAACAGGAUGAAUCUAAUGAUGCGACUUCAAUGUUUUUUACAACAACCACAGGAAAAGUAUUUGAGUAUCAGUUUCCAAAAUAUACAGGUGGGGCUUCAAGCAAUAAGAUUAGAGGACUAUGGGUAAAUCACAUGUCUCCUGACCAUGCAAAAGUAGCAGCAAGUGUUCGAGGUCUACAGAUUCAAGUUGGCAGAUUGAUAUUCCAGCUAGAUGAUGGUAGGCUUGGAGAGCUACAUUUACCUGGCAUGGGAGGUGGUCAUUUUGGUCCAAGUCAACAAAAUAGCAUAAGAAGGAAAGUGCCAAACAAGUAUGAGUGGUCUAUCCUAGAUACACCAGAAACAGAAGGUUGGAAUGCAGAAUAUUGCACUGAAGAGCAUGGCCCUACAAACUGUAUUACUGGAGCGAUGAAUGUAGCUGCAGAUACGGAACCAACCAACCUGAGCAAUGCCCCACCUAGAAGGCGUAAAGCAGAAGAGAAGCAACACUACCUGCAUGGUCAUAGUCAUGAGAGUGAUGAAACUGAAUCAUACAACAUUCUAUCACGAAGCAUUUAUCUUAACUUCCAUAUGCGGGUGAUGCAUGCAGAUAGAUCACUUUUCCUCAUAACAGAUAACGGAUUAACUUUGGAAUAUCUAAACAGCAAUGGUGUCUGGCUAUGGCUAAGACAUGAACACAUUACAGGCAUGAAGGGUACACUAGGAAGCUAUAAUGGCAGCUUGUAUCUUGUCGAUCUUCAUGGGAACUUGCAUAUUAGAGAAAGAAAUGGUGACGAACUCUUAUGGAUUAAUUGCACAGCAAUGAGGAAGGGAAGACAGGUUGCAAGUGGGCCUCCAUGGGAUGGCAUCCCUGGGUUAUCACGCAGAGUGACAACAGAUGAUGCACUUUUCUUUGUUAACAAGAGAGGCAGAUUGCUACAAUUCACGGUGGCAUUGCGUAAAUUCAAGUGGAAGGACUGCCACAGCCCUCCCGAUACCAAGGUUGCAUUCAUCGUGGAUCAGGAGGUGUUUAGAAGAAAUAUCAUCUUCGUGGUUGGCCGGAACGAUCGGAUGUACCAGUAUAACAGAAUUACAGAGCUAUGGCACAGGCACUACCAAUCACCUCACCUCGUCCUGUCAAGAUCCCCUGGGACAGCGAUGAGGCCGUCGCCUCUCUCCCUCACCGGCUCCAUCUUCAUGAUAUCCGAGCAGGGGGGCCUCGUGGAGUACCAUUUCAGCCCGCAUGACGGAUGGGAGUGGGUAGAGCACGGGACGCCCCACCGGGACGUGACCCUCGUGGUCGCCCCAGGGUCGUGCUUCGACGGCACCCAGCUGUUCGUCAUCGGGUCCGACGGACACGUCUACCUGCGGCACCUGGACGAGCGAACGUGGAGGUGGACGAGCCACGGGCACCCGUCGGAACCAUCCAGCACGACGACGGACGUUGCCGGCGGCGGCGAGCAGAGCUGCGCCACGCUGGGCGCCGCGGACGCGCACUACGCGAGCAGCUUCAGGGGGAGCUGCGACGAAAAGGUGGCGGCCGUGCGGCCGGUGCCGUUCUCCGAGGACGCGGUGGUCUUCGAGCUGCGCGACGGCCGGUUGGCGGAGCUGCGGCGUGCGGCGGAGGGUCGCAGCGGGUGGGAGUGGGCGCGGAUCAUCGGCACGCCCGCCAGCGCCUGCAUGACAAGCUACUGGACGGCCGUCGCCACGUAG